rnacentral:rRNA from 1 species
UACGAAGGGUGCAAGCGUUACUCGGAAUUACUGGGCGUAAAGCGUGCGCAGGCGGUCUCUUAAGACAGGUGUGAAAUCCCCGGGCUUAACCUGGGAACUGCGCUUGAGACUGGCACGCUCGAGUUCGGGAGAGGAUGGUGGAAUUCCCAGUGUAGAGGUGAAAUUCGUAGAUAUUGGGAAGAACACCGAUGGCGAAGGCAGCCAUCUGGACCGACACUGACGCUGAGGCGCGAAAGCGUGGGGAGCAAACAGG